rnacentral:rRNA from 1 species
ACGAUUAAAGCCCCUUCGGGGGUGUAUAAAGUGGCGAAAGGGCGAGGACAACGUUCCUACGUACCCCGAGGUCGAGGAUAGCCCAGGGAAACUUGGAGUAAUACUCGAUAUGGUCUUCGGAUCAAAGAUUUAUCGCCUUGGGAGCGGGGAACGCCCUAUCAGGUUGUUGGUGAGGUAACGGCUCACCAAGCCUUAGACGGGUAGCGGGUGUGAGAGCAUGACCCGCCGCAUCGGGACUGAGACACUGCCCGGACUCCUACGGGAGGCUGCAGUAACGAAUAUUCCGCAAUGCGCGAAAGCGUGACGGAGCAAUGCCGCGUGCAGGAUGAAGCCCUUCGGGGUGUAAACUGCUGUCAGGGUUUAGGAAGUUCUGACCAAACCCAAAGGAAGGGCCGGCUAACUUCGUGCCAGCAGCCGCGGUAAUACGAAGGGCCCGAGCGUUACUCGGAAUCAUUGGGCUUAAAGCGUACGCAGGCGGAUGCGCAGGCGUCGUGUGAAAUCCCUCCGCUCAACGGAGGAACUGCACGGCGAACCGCGUGUCUUGAGACAAGUAGGGGCGAUCGGAACGCUAGGUGGAGUGGUGAAAUGCGUUGAUAUCUAGCGGAACGCCGAAGGAGAAAUCAGAUCGCUGGGCUUGUUCUGACGCUGAGGUACGAAAGCGUGGGGAGCGAACGGGAUUAGAUACCCCGGUA